UCUGCAGCUUAUAAAGAAUCUUUUCUGAUUUUCUGUAGGUUAUCUGACUUAGGUAUCAAAGGAUCUCCCACCAAUACACUCCUUGGCAAGUGGGCUUUCGUGUCUUUCAUAUUUUCAAAGCAAGCUUAGUGUUGGACUGAAGAUCCGACUAUGGUCUUGUUACACCCAUGUUUUUGGCCCAUGGGUUGGCUUGGAGAGGCCCAUACCCAUGGGAUUCAUGUGUGCAACACAUGACAAGUGGGAGGGAAGAAGACCCUAAUUGUGAGUCUUCUUUUUCCUCAUUUUUGAUGAGAUCAGAGAAUUUAGCCUACCUAUUUUGGAUCAAAAAUCCUGGCAAGAGCUACUAUAAGAAGGCUUUUUCUCCUCUCUUAGACCCCAUCAUUGGUUCUC
rnacentral:lncRNA from 1 species